CAGUAGCCGCGGGAAUACAGAGGGUGCGAGCGUUAAUCGGAUUUACUGGGCGUAAAGCGCACGUAGGCAGACAUUUAAGUCAGGGGUGAAAUCCCGGGGCUCAACCCCGGAACUGCCUUUGAUACUGGGUGUCUAGAGUAUGGAAGAGGUGAGUGGAAUUCCGAGUGUAGAGGUGAAAUUCGUAGAUAUUCGGAGGAACACCAGUGGCGAAGGCGGCUCACUGGUCCAUUACUGACGCUGAGGUGCGAAAGCGUGGGGAGCAAACAGGAUUAGAUACCCCCGUAGUCCCUGUCUCUAUACA
rnacentral:rRNA from 1 species